rnacentral:lncRNA from 1 species
AUUUUUUUCAAGGAUGAGCUUUGCCAGCUCCACGUGGAAGUCCCUAAAGCUCCUCCUUCCACUUCGAAGCGUGACUGAUGCCUCCAGGGCCUCACAGCCGCUUCUGAAGCACUUCCUGAAAGCCAGCUCCACCCUGGCGAGGCCCUGACCUCAGCGGACCCAAGCCCAGGACGAUGCCUGUUGCGUUCUUCUCCCCCAGUAGCAAGUCACCUUCCCCAGCAGCCUCCAUGUUGUCUGGGCUCUCCCUGUGGGGGAUGCCAGGGGAGAGUGAGAGAGCAGAGGUGGCCAAGAUGGCAUGUGCUGCCUUCUCUCCUGGAACAUGCUGCUUCCACAGGGCAGUGCCAGUGUCUCCGUGUGAAUUCAUUGAUUGUGGCCUGAGUGAAUUCCUGGGUUUGCUGUUCCAGAUGAUUCUGCAGGGCUUCAAAACCAGCAAGGCCCUGAGCAAAGCUGCUCCUUCUUCUCAUGGGCUGAACUCAUCGUGAUGUCACUGGCUAAGGGGGGCAGCAUGGGGUCCAGCCCGGCCCAGGCACAUGGAGCUGCGGUCCUGUCAGGCUGAGUGUGGUGUUUGCCUUCUAGGAUGGCCCCGAGGCCACCAGUUCCAGAGAGGGUCUGUCACCGAAAGACAUCCAUGCUGAGUCACCCAAAGACAUCCAUGCUGAAUCCAUCCCUCUGCCAUUCUGCCUUGCCCCACCCUCUGCCAUUCUGCCUUGCCUGGCCCUCUGCCAUUCUGCAUUACGCCUGAUUUUUGGAAGUGUGGUUUUGAGUGUUGGCAGCCCAGUGUCACAGAGGACCAUAUCUUAGAAAUGACCCCAGGCGAGAGCUGUGGCUUUCCUGUUCUAUUUGAAGGCAGCUGUUUUAGGGUGCAGCGGGUCCAGGGACACAGAGUGGGCCAUGAGCAAGGGAUGGGUGCUGGGGCCUGGCAGAGCUGGCAGGCUCUGUGACCCCGGCACUUAGGAAGGGGUGGGCACCGUGACCCUGGCACUAAAUAAGGAAGGGAUGGGUGCUGUGACCCUGGCACUUAGUGAGGAAGGGGUGGGCACUGUGACCCCGGCACUUAGUGAGGAAGGGGUGGGCACUGUGACCCCGGCACUUAGUGAGGAAGGGGUGGGCACUGUGACCCUGGCACUUAGUGAGGAAGGGGUGGGCACUGUGACCCCGGCACUUAGUAAGGAAGGGGUGGGCACUGUGACCCUGGCACUUAGUAAGGAAGGGGUGGGUGCUGGGGCCCUGGCACUUAGGAAAGGAUGGGUGCUGGGGCCCGGCAGAGCCGGCAGGCACUGUGACCCCAGCACUUAGGAAGGGGUGGGUGCUGUGACCCCGGCACUUAGGAAGGGGUGGGCACUGUGACCCUGGCACUAAAUAAGGAAGGGAUGGGUGCUGUGACCCUGGCACUUAGUGAGGAAGGGGUGGGCACUGUGACCCCGGCACUUAGUGAGGAAGGGGUGGGCACUGUGACCCCGGCACUUAGUGAGGAAGGGGGGUGGGCGCUGUGACCCCGGCACUUAGGAAGGGGUGGGCGCUGUGACCCUGGCUCUUAGUGAGCAAGGGGUGGGCGCUGUGACCCCAGCACUUAGGAAGGGGUGGGCACUGUGACCCCGGCACUUAGUGACAAUGUUGGAGCCUCACCUCCCAGAUCCAUAAAGCAGGGAUCAUGAAAACCAACCGAAGGCAGCAGGGCCUACGGGGCACUCAGAUGUCAAGAAUAUGAACACGUGGCUGCUGUUCCUCCCCCUGUUCCCGGUGCAGGUGCAGACCCUGAUAGUCGUGAUCAUCGGGAUGCUCGUGCUCCUGCUGGACUUUCUUGGCUUGGUGCACCUGGGCCAGCUGCUCAUCUUCCACAUCUACCUGAGCCAAGAAGAUGACCACCUUUGAGUAUCUCAUUAAUAACCGCAAAGAAGAGAGUUCAAAACAUCAAGCAGUGAGGAAAGAUCCAUACGUGCAAAUGGACAAAGGAGUUCUCCAGCAAGGAGCUGGCGCCCUGGGCUCAUCUGCACAGGGAGUCAAAGCCAAGAGCUCCCUGCUGAUUCACAAGCACUUAUGUCACUUCUGCACUUCAGUAAACCAGGAUGGGGAUUCGACGGCACGGGUGCAUUUGUGAGUCCCCUCAGUGUCUCUGCAGCUUCUAUGUGUGGAUGAAUAGUGAAGCCACAUGAGGCCUGGUCUGAAGCAGAGAAGAUCCGCUCAGCAUCAUGUUGAAUCCCAAGCCCGCGUCUCCGUGGGCUCCAGGACAAUCCUAUGAAAGUGACACCGUCGUUCAUUGUUCACAUCGGGGAGGAGAAUUCCAUCUGAAAAUGCACGUGACUUCACUGACACCCGCGUCCGUGGCACAGCCCUGUGCUGAGCUCCACAGACCUACAGUCCAUCGCCUCCCCUUGGAGUGGGCCCACAGCUGCAGACAGUGUUGUCCAAAGAAGAUGCUCUGAGUAGAUGAAUGGAACAAACUGGAAACUCCAGAAACAAGCCCUUCUUUACAUUUCUAAUGUUUGGCUUAAAUGGAAGGUGCCAAGGAAGGGGAUGAAGACCCGUGUCCAUCUGCACUUGGUGCUGGGCACCACAGGCCUGCAGCUUCUUAGGCUCUGGGAGGAGGCGCAGUGGAAAUUGAGGUCGCCGUGAGGUCGCUCCAAUGUCGCCGUACACUGUUGCUGCCUGGCUACCUUCCCAUCUCUGUCAUCAUGGAGAGUGUGGGCAGGGGACCCCUGGCCCUCUUCCUUCUUCUCCUGCCCCGGGGGGAGCAGCAGAGAGCCAAGGGGCUGGAGGAGGAGCCAAGGCCAGGAACUCCCGGCUGAUUUGCAGGCGCCUGUGUCAGUUCUCCACUCGUGUACACCCAGACGGGGGCUCGAUGGCACAGGAAGCAGAUGAUGCCCCGAGUAUAUCUACACUUGGGCUGCAACAAGAAACAACAGAGCCCAUGAAAACUGACAGUGCUGAAAGUGAAGACUGAGAUUCAGGAGCUCAGGUGCCCCUGUGAUCCAGGUCUUCUACCCUGAAACCCCACCCUCCAUCAAGGUCCUGCCUGUAGAGUCUACCUUGCAAAGCCUCCUGCUCCUACCCAUGCUACAGGCCAGGAACCAGAGCCCAUCAUCUCAGAGGCCCCUGGAUGUCCUUCGAAGGAACCAGGACCCUCAGAGCCCAGCAUCCAUCUCUGUCAUCAUCUUCAUCACACCCAAAGAAGAGCCAGCCUUGCAGGAGGGUUUACAUCUCCAGGAAGAUGGGCUGCCAGCAACUGCAGAGGAUGCAGCCACCUGCUUAACUGUGCUGUCCAGCCAGCCAGCCAGCUGCAGGGCCUCUUGCUGCUUAAGAGCUGAUGGGCCGGGCAUGUUGGCUCACACCUGUGAGCACAGUACUGGGAAAUGGGAGCACAGUACUAGGAAAUGGGAGCACAGUACUGGGAAAUGGGAGCACAGUACUGGGAAAUGGGGGCUCACAGCACUGCAAAAUGGGAGCACAGUAUUGGGAAAUGGGAGCACAGUACUGGGAAGUGGGAGCACAGUACUGAGAAGUGGGAGCACAGUACUGAGAAAUGGGAGUACACUACUGAGAAAUGGGAGCACAGUACUGGGAAAUGGGCAUACAGUACUGAGAAAUGGGAGCACACAGUACUGGGAAAUGGGAGCACAGUACUGGGAAAUGGGAGCCCACAGUACUGGGAAAGGGGAGUUCACAGUACUCGGAAAUGGGAGCAUAGUACUGGGAAAUGGGAGCACAGUACUGGGAAAUGGGAGCAUAGUACUGGGAAACCCCAGACCUGGAUUCUGAGUUUUUCAGCCUAGCCCAGACUUCUUAUCUUAGUAGACAAAAAGAGUCAAUACCAGAGAACCAGAGGCAUCCUCUGUAUUUUAAUGAACUCUGCAUUUUAAUCUGUUUAGUAGUCAUUUUUUAAAAGAUAAUCAGUUUUCCAAAUAUAUCUAUAAGUUACUACGUGC